rnacentral:rRNA from 1 species
GAUACUGGCGGACGGGUGAGUAACACGUGGGUAACCUGCCUGUAAGACUGGGAUAACUCCGGGAACCGGGGCUAAUACCGGAUGCUUGAUUGAACCGCAUGGUUCAAUUAUAAAAAGGUGGCUUUUAGCUACCACUUACAGAUGGACCCGCGGCGCAUUAGCUAGUUGUGAGGUAACGGCUCACCAAGGCAACGAUGCGUAGCCGACCUGAGAGGGUGAUCGGCCACACUGGGACUGAGACACGGCCCAGACUCCUACGGGAGGCAGCAGUAGGGAAUCUUCCGCAAUGGACGAAAGUCUGACGGAGCAACGCCGCGUGAGUGAUGAAGGUUUUCGGAUCGUAAAACUCUGUUGUUAGGGAAGAACAAGUACCGUUUCGAAUAGGGCGUACCUUGACGGGUACCUAACCAGAAAAGCCACGGCUAACUACGUGCCAGCAGCCGCGGUAAUACG